GACGAACGCUGGCGGCGUGCCUAACACAUGCAAGUCGAACGGUGAUGAGGACUUCGGUCCUCUGAUCAGUGGCGGACGGGUGAGUAACGCGUGAGCAACCUGCCCUAUAUUGCGGGAUAACAACCGGAAACAGUUGCUAAUACCGCAUGACGUAUUCGGAUCGCAUGUUCUGAAUACCAAAGAAUUUUGAUAUAGGAUGGGCUCGCGUCCGAUUAGGCAGUUGGUGGGGUAACGCCCACCAAACCGACGAUCGGUAGCCGAACUGAGAGGUUGAACGGCCACAUUGGAACUGAGACACGGUCCAGACUCCUACGGGAGGCAGCAGUGAGGAAUAUUGGUCAAUGGUCUGACGACUGAACCAGCCAUGCCGCGUGAAGGUGACGGCCCUAUGGGUCUAAACUUCUUUGUAAGGGAGCAAUAAGUCUCACGUGUGGGAUGAUGAGAGUACCUUACGAAUAAGCAUCGGCUAACUCCGUGCCAGCAGCCGUACGG
rnacentral:rRNA from 1 species